rnacentral:lncRNA from 1 species
GUUAGUACUGGAUGGUGUGAGCGAGGUCCCCCAGCUGCACCACAGCAGGGCAGGAGACAGCAGCCCCCACCCAGCCAGGCACAGGCCCAGUGCCUCUGUGGGACUCCAUCCAGGACUUGUUGAAAUGGCCGAUGAUACAAAGGAGCCCCGACUUCACCCAUGGCCAGCUUCCCUCGCCAUCCUCCCUGCAGCCAAAGGACUCGCCCUCACCUGUUCUUUCUGAGACAAAUCAUCUGCCAGGUUUCCGCCUCGGGACACCCAAGCUCAGCACAGACAGCCUAGCAGCCUGGGUGACAGGAUCCCAGGGGACAGGAUUCUCUCCUUGCCAUGGGGAUGAGGACAAAUUCUCCCUUCAUCCUUGAGAUUGGACUCCCGCCACACAUCCUGGAGGAGCCUACAGAGAAGCCGGCAGGUCUCCCUCACCUGGAUGGUGCCAGCGGGUGGCCUGGACCACCCAGAGGCCCUCUCCUGCACCUGACAGGAAGCCCCUGGGGCAUACGUCUCCCCUGCCACUUCCACUGUGGCCACUGGAAGUGUGGCAGAGAAAAUAGCUAGGACAAAAAGAAGUCAAUGAUUUCAACCAACGGAAUUUCUUUGUCCUUUGUAAAAAUCAACACAUGAUCUGUUACUGAUUGGGAUGUGAAAUAAAACUAAAAAUAACAGCACACUGAGCCUGGCUCAGGGCUCAGCUCACCUUUACCACGGUCCAAGUUCAGUUUAUCAGAUCCCAAGGAGCAGCUAAGCAGCAAGUCAAACACAGGUGAGGGUGGAGGGCGGAGGGCGGAGCGGGGAGGGGGCUCUGGCCCUCUGCGUGCCCCCACCAACCCCCAGGUAGAGAACCAGCCAGCUCACCAGGGAGUGUGGCCAAGCAAGAAGCUAUACACAGAAUUCUGAGCCCACACCCUAAUCUGCCUCAGGUGGGGAGGCCACUCACUUCCCUUUUUGCCUCAGUUUCCCCACUGGGGUUACCAGGGUCUUCUGGCACAUUCCCUUGUUUUAAGGAACGGUGGAAGAGGGGUCCCCUUGAGAUCAGGUUAAGCUGUGAAACAUCCUGCCAGCGCCACAGGCCACUGGGUCCUGGAAGGUCAGGCCACAAAGACC